GCCAGUGUGGGGUAGUAGUUUGAAUGUCGGACUAUGACUCUGGAAACCAGGGUUCGAUUCCCACUUUGGCC